rnacentral:rRNA from 1 species
AUUGAACGCUGGCGGAAUGCUUUACACAUGCAAGUCGAGCGGCAGCGCGGGGCAACCUGGCGGCGAGCGGCGAACGGGUGAGUAAUGCAUCGGAACAUGUCCAUUUGUGGGGGAUAGCCCGGCGAAAGCCGGAUUAAUACCGCAUGAGCCCGAGAGGGGAAAGUGGGGGACCGCAAGGCCUCACGCGAAUGGGUUGGCCGAUGUCCGAUUAGCUAGUUGGUGGGGUAAAGGCUCACCAAGGCGAUGAUCGGUAGCUGGUCUGAGAGGAUGAUCAGCCACACUGGGACUGAGACACGGCCCAGACUCCUACGGGAGGCAGCAGUGGGGAAUUUUGGACAAUGGGGGCAACCCUGAUCCAGCCAUUCCGCGUGAGUGAAGAAGGCCUUCGGGUUGUAAAGCUCUUUUGUCCGGAGCGAAACGGUUAGCGUGAAUAGCGCUGACUACUGACGGUACCGGAAGAAUAAGCACCGGCUAACUACGUGCCAGCCGCCGCCGUAACAC